rnacentral:rRNA from 1 species
GAUAAACGCUGGCGGCGCACAUAAGACAUGCAAGUCGAACGGACUUAACCUAUAGUUUACUAUUGGAGCGGUUAGUGGCGGACUGGUGAGUAACACGUAAGCAACCUGCCUAUUAGAGGGGAACAACAGUUAGAAAUGACUGCUAAUACCGCAUAUGCCAUAAUCAUCACAUGAUGAUAGUGGGAAAGGAGCAAUCCGCUAAUAGAUGGGCUUGCGUCUGAUUAGAUAGUUGGUGGGGUAACGGCCUACCAAGUCGACGAUCAGUAGCCGAGUUGAGAGACUCUACGGCCACAUUGGGACUGAGAUACGGCCCAGACUCCUACGGGAGGCAGCAGUCGGGAAUAUUGCGCAAUGGAGGAAACUCUGACGCAGUGACGCCGCGUGCAGGAAGAAGGUUUUCGGAUUGUAAACUGCUUUAGACAGGGAAGAAACAAGACAGUACCUGUAGAAUAAGCUCCGGC